rnacentral:rRNA from 1 species
GACGAACGCUGGCGGCGUGCCUAAUACAUGCAAGUAGAACGCUGAAGCUUGGUGCUUGCACCGAGCGGAUGAGUUGCGAACGGGUGAGUAACGCGUAGGUAACCUGCCUGGUAGCGGGGGAUAACUAUUGGAAACGAUAGCUAAUACCGCAUGAUAUUGAUUAUUGCAUGAUAGUCAAUUAAAAGGUGCAAUUGCAUCACUACCAGAUGGACCUGCGCUGUAUUAGCUAGUUGGUGAGGUAACGGCUCACCAAGGCAACGAUACAUAGCCGACCUGAGAGGGUGAUCGGCCACACUGGGACUGAGACCCGGCCCAGACUCCUACGGGAGGCAGCAGUAGGGAAUCUUCGGCAAUGGACGGAAGUCUGACCGAGCAACGCCGCGUGAGUGAAGAAGGUUUUCGGAUCGUAAAGCUCUGUUGUAAGAGAAGAACGAGUGUGAGAGUGGAAAGUUCACACUGUGACGGUAUCUUACCAGAAAGGGACGGCUAACUACGUGCCAGCAGCCGCGGUAAUACGUAGGUCCCGAGCGUUGUCCGGAUUUAUUGGGCGUAAAGCGAGCGCAGGCGGUUAGAUAAGUCUGAAGUUAAAGGCUGUGGCUUAACCAUAGUACGCUUUGGAAACUGUUUAACUUGAGUGCAAGAGGGGAGAGUGGAAUUCCAUGUGUAGCGGUGAAAUGCGUAGAUAUAUGGAGGAACACCGGUGGCGAAAGCGGCUCUCUGGCUUGUAACUGACGCUGAGGCUCGAAAGCGUGGGGAGCAAACAGG